GAUGAACGCUGGCGGCGUGCCUAAUACAUGCAAGUCGAGCGAACAGACGAGGAGCUUGCUCCUCUGACGUUAGCGGCGGACGGGUGAGUAACACGUGGAUAACCUACCUAUAAGUCUGGGAUAACUUCGGGAAACCGGAGCUAAUACCGGAUAAUAUAUUGAACCGCAUGGUUCAAUAGUGAAAGACGGUUUUGCUGUCACUUAUAGAUGGAUCCGCGCCGCAUUAGCUAGUUGGUAAGGUAACGGCUUACCAAGGCAACGAUGCGUAGCCGACCUGAGAGGGUGAUCGGCCACACUGGAACUGAGACACGGUCCAGACUCCUACGGGAGGCAGCAGUAGGGAAUCUUCCGCAAUGGGCGAAAGCCUGACGGGGCAACGCCGCGUGAGUGAUGAAGGUCUUCGGAUCGUAAAACUCUGUUAUUAGGGAAGAACAAAUGUGUAAGUAACUAUGCACGUCUUGACGGUACCUAAUCAGAAAGCCACGGCUAACUACGUG
rnacentral:rRNA from 1 species